rnacentral:lncRNA from 1 species
UUUUGCUUAAGUCUGAUGAAACCCUAGCCUUAUACGUUUGUGUUUGUAUUAUCUGCUUGUUUGUGUGUUUUUCUGGGUUCUUCUCUAAGUUCCGUGUUCUUUGCUUUAUUUUGGUUACUAGUGUUUCAUUCUCCUACCGUUUUGUAUUCUCCGUUUAAGAAUUCUAUGACUGUUUGCUUGACGAUUUUAUACUGAUUCUUACAAGCCCUCUUUGAGACUGUGAUACUUGCCUUAAAAUUGGAUUCUACGUAUUAAUUUUGAAUUUCUUUCUCAAUCUGUGGGAUACCUUCCUUAAUUAAUAUUGGGCUCCUAAGUUUUCAGUCUCAUUCCUAAUUGUUUGGGACUAUUUUCCAGAAUUGGAGUAGUAUCAUGCCGUAUACGUGUGUACGAAUAUGUUGAUUGAUUUGCAUGACUUAUUUCCCUAAUUAGAGUAUCAUGUACAUAGUCUCUAUUGCACAUUUUAUGCUACUCCGUUUCCUUAUGUGAUCAUACCAUGCUUGUGAUUUCUUUCCUUUUAAAUAACUGCUCAUUAUCGUUUGACUUUGAUUCCUUAAUUAAAGAGGAGUCCAUAUACUAAUUUGAUUAUGAUUGAUGCCAGUUCCUUGAUUAGGGGGCUGCUACCUUGUUUGUUUACUCGUAUUCAGUACAAUAAGUACCACCCACUCUCUUUUUCAUGACACGAACACUUUGCAUAUCACAAACACACACACACACACACACUUUUAUAGUGAUCACAUUUCACUCUCUUGUGCUAUUUCUCUACUUUUUAUCUUUUGUGCUGUUGUUGCUCCCUGCUCCUGACUGUCACUAGCCAGCUAAAAGGCUAAGGCAAAUAUCGUGCUUAUACUUGGCUCUUUCAUCCUGUUGUGCUCUCUUUGUUGUUGGUAUGUCCUGAUUGCAUUCCACGCUCUAGACCAAUAUUUUAUUACUACUUCAGUAUGUGCUAUUCCUAAUCAUUUUCUACUUAUGUUUCUGCUGUGCAAUAUGUGAUUGAUUCCUGGUUUGCCUAUUGGAACUUGCAUGCUCAUGAUUACUGUUCACCUAUUAUGACUGAAUUCUGUUGCUACUUACUUUGUGUCUAAAUCCGACUAUGUCAAGGUCCCUUAAAGUUUUGGUUUUGUCAGUUUGCA